AUACGUAGGGGGCGAGCGUUGUCCGGAAUGAUUGGGCGUAAAGGGCGCGUAGGCGGCCCGGUAAGUCUGGAGUGAAAGUCCUGUUUUUAAGAUGGGAAUUGCUUUGGAUACUGUCGGGCUUGAGUGCAGGAGAGGUAAGUGGAAUUCCCAGUGUAGCGGUGAAAUGCGUAGAGAUUGGGAGGAACACCAGUGGCGAAGGCGACUUACUGGACUGUAACUGACGCUGAGGCGCGAAAGUGUGGGGAGCAAACAGGAUUAGAUACCCUGGUAGUCCACACUGUAAACGAUGAAUGCUAGGUGUAGGGGGUAUCGACCCCUUCCGUGCCGCAGUCAACACAAUAAGCAUUCCGCCUGGGGAGUACGGCCGCAAGGUUGAAACUCAAAGGAAUUGACGGGG
rnacentral:rRNA from 1 species